rnacentral:lncRNA from 1 species
CCCCCCCUCAACUAGUUAACAGCCACUUAAACUGACAAAUUUUCAUUUAUCUUGGAUUGAUCGUUAAAGCAAACUCGGUUGGAUUGACAAUUUGAAUGCUAUUUGAUGCUAUGCUUGGAGAGAACAGCAGGCUGGUAGAUUAGAUCCAUUAAGCUAAAAUUAAGCGUCUGGAGCAUGUAGCUCUGUGUUUUCACUUUUUUUUUUGUUUUUUUUGUUUUUU